rnacentral:rRNA from 1 species
AAUUUACAAUGGAGAGUUUGAUCCUGGCUCAGGAUGAACGCUAGCGGCAGGCUUAAUACAUG